UACCCCUAGCAAAUCUCAAAAAACCGUCUCAGUUCGGAUUGGGGUCUGCAACUCGACCCCAUGAAGUCGGAAUCGCUAGUAAUCGCGGAUCAGCAUGCCACGGUGAAUACGUUCCCGGGCCUUGUACACACCGCCCGUCACACCAUGGGAGUUGGUUUUACCUGAAGGCGGUGCGCUAACCCGCAAGGGAGGCAGCCGACCACGGUAGGGUCAGCGACUGGGGUGAAG
rnacentral:rRNA from 1 species